GAAGGAAUAAACAGGUUGAUGAUGCUGGAAUCCUAAAUCAGAACCUUAAUUGGCUCACUAAUUCUCUCUCUCUCUCCUAGCGUCUCAACAUACCAAAAACAAGUCUGACUUGGUGUUUUGUCCCAGAAACUCUAUCUCCCAACCGUGACAUUAUGAGACUAAAACCCUCAUCCCCUCAACGCUGAACCGUAAAUACAGCCUCUUUCCUCCCUCACCUUGCAAGUCUCUUGAGGAACACCAGGGAGUAUAAUAUCUCAUCAGUCAUUGUACCUUCAAGCUGCGAGUGUCGCGAGUGAGAGCAAACUACCUAAGCCUUCCUCCUUCUUUUCCCUGUCCGCCUAAGUUGCAGCAACAAAGGAGGUCUUGUACCUUCCCAUUUCCUUGCUCGCUGGUGCCCUAUGCGUGUUAAUGCAAGAACCCCUCUCUGCGUGCAGAUGGAGAUUCAAGUCUUUCUCCGUGAGUUGUUGUUCCCCUUGUGUUUAACCGAGAACCCCAUUCAAGGAGGCGUCUGUCUCAGUACUGAGUUAGUUCCUCCUUCCUCAUAUGCAGCUGAAUCUGAUCAUUGGAUUGUUGGAGGGUGAAGGGCUGUCUUGUGCGAAUAGGGGCUGUGGGUGUGGCCGCAAGAAGGUGCGCAUAAUUAUUAAAGAGUGGACUGGUUUUGGUGCCGUUGAUUAAUAUUUGGACACGCGAGGAGGACGGAAGAGCAUUGGAAGACAUGAUUAUAUGGAUAUGUGCUGUUAUGUGCUGCUGUAUGGACUAUUGUUGUUGCUGUUUAUUUGAUGGAUGACUGUAUUAAAUUGAGUAGUUUUGAUUACUGUUGAAUUAUGAUUUUAUUACUGUAUGUAAGACUUUUGUGAUCAGCAAGUAUUUUGAAAACA